rnacentral:rRNA from 1 species
GACGAACGCUGGCGGCGUGCUUAACACAUGCAAGUCGAGCGGUAAGGCCCUUUCGGGGGUACACGAGCGGCGAACGGGUGAGUAACACGUGGGUGACCUGCCCUCAGCUCUGGGAUAAGCCUGGGAAACCGAGUCUAAUACCGGAUAUGACUCCAUGACGCAUGUUGUGGGGUGGAAAGCCUUGUGCGGCUGAGGAUGGGCCCGCGGCCUAUCAGCUUGUUGGUGGGGUGANGGCCUACCAAGGCGACGACGGGUAGCCGGCCUGAGAGGGCGACCGGCCACACUGGGACUGAGACACGGCCCAGACUCCUACGGGAGGCAGCAGUGGGGAAUCUUGCGCAAUGGGCGAAAGCCUGACGCAGCGACGCCGCGUGAGGGAUGACGGCCU